rnacentral:lncRNA from 1 species
AUUUGGGCCACAUAGUUGUGCCUCUGUUUGUAGUCUGUCUGCGAUUUUCUUACAGCAGCUGAGGAUAUGAUGAUGAUGAUGAUGAUUAUUCAUAGACUAUGAAGUAAUUUGAGGCUGCUUCCUAAGGUAGCAGAUUUUUGAUUUCAUUAAAUGAGAGUAAAUGAUUAUUAACUUUGUUAUUUGUACAUUUUUACUGUUGCACAGGAGAGUUUUGCAUGGAAUUUCUGUAUCAUGGGUCAAAAUGAUUGGGCUUUGGAUACUAUGCAGCUUAAUUUAGGUGGUCAGUGGGAACUCAACAGUAAUAGAUUUUAGGCCGGUUGUGACAGGCAAUAAUUUGGUUAGCAGAUGGCCCUGAGAUUUAAAUGUUCUGCCUGAGGCCAUAAGAAUGUGCCCCCAUUUCAUGGCCAAAGUUUGAAAUGUGGCAACUCAAGAGUUGUAAUUUCACAACUUACUCUCAUUUGAUAAUAAGGGAAAGGUUGGUCUAUGGUAAGGCAAGGAACAGAAACAAGGUGAAACUUGCUCAGGCGUUGUGACUCACUCACCUGAGAGUCCACUCCCUCCUCUCUUGCAGUUCCUCUUGUCUUCCUGAAUUUAUCAUUGGGAAAUUAGUUAAAUGCAGCUGCGUGAAUAUGCUUGACUUAUUGGGAUUUCCCAUCGCUUUUUGUGGGCAUAGUUUACUUUGUUCCUGUCUUACCACAGAGGUAAGAUAUGUUAAUGUUCUCCUCACUGGGUCAUUCCGAGGAAGUCUCUUUAAAGGCAUCCAAGCUGACAGAGAAGCAAGUCUUCCAAAAAGGGAUCCCAGCUGAGUCCUUCUCAGUUCUUGUCUGUGGGGGAACUCAGCAAGCAGCAAAGAGCCUCCAGCUACAGGUCUGUGGAGAUAACCCUUGCAAAACUUUCCCAAACGUGGACUUAGCAGAGAAUAUCCAGCUUUUAAAGAUUCUGGUAAGUGGAUAGAAGCUGUUCUUAUGGAUGCCGCUUCUCUGAUGUUUUCCUCAACCCAGCGUUCUCCAGAUAUCAUGGUCUACAACCCCUAUCACCCCCAGGAGGAUGAUUGUAACCCAUCAUAUCUGGAAAGACUGUCUUAUGGUAUUGGACGAGGAUGAAUUUUACAAUCGGAGCAUCUUUGCCAGAAAGUUCAAAGAGCUUGUUUGAUUCUACUAUUUGUUGUGUUGCUAGCCAGGGCUUUAGUGUGGAGAGCUCCACCCUGUAAAGCCAAGUGGUUUAUAAUAUAUCUUGAAAAGAAAAAACAACGGUGCCAAUUCUAUGUUUUGUGGUGAGCUUGGGCAAAAAUUCUCCCCUCUCUUUGAUUGGCCCCCUUCUCCAUGCCACCUAGAGAUUUUGUUAUUUGUACAGUUACAUUUCUAUCCCAUUUUUUUCUCCAAAAAAAUCAAGGCAACAUAACAUGUAAUGCUGUCCUUUCCAUCCUCUCCCUUUAUUCUCACCACAACAACCCUCUGAAGCAGGUUAGUCUUAACGUAGUCCCAUGUAUUUCAUGGCUCAGUGCAGAUUAGAAUUUGGACCAUCCUGUACCUACUACAACCUGUAAGCACUGUACCACUGGCUCUCCAAUGAAGUGAUAAAGUGAAGUCUGAAGUGAUAAAGUGUGUAGCGAGUGGAAGGAGCUGUUCCUUCCUUUGUGCUCCGUUCGCUGCUUACUUGUUCAUUCACUAGAUGUCAGGCAAGGGAUCAAGAAACUACAGACUUUAGCAACGAAUGUGAGGUGUGUUGUCGAAGGCUUUCAUGGCUGGGAUGACAGGGUUGUUGUAUGUCUUUUGGGCUGUGUGGCCAUGUUCCAGAAGUAUUCUCUCCUGAUGUUUCGCCCACAUCUAUGGGCAGGCAUCCUCAGAGGUUGAGAGGCACAUGCUUCUUUCAAUAUUUUCAGUCAAAGGAGGGAAUAUUUCAGGCAAGAAAACUUUCUGUUGCAUCGGAAAA